AUUGUUAGUGCGGUCCUCUGUAGCAAUAUUACUGCAGCGCGAAGAGGUGGGGAGUGUGAGAAUAAACGAUAUUAGAGAAACCUCAGCGUUUCAGUGAGUCUUAAAAGAACAUGGACUAGACAGUAUUUGUAGCAAAAUAUUAAAAGAAAUAAGACAGUAAAAAGCAGCUGGAAGCGUAUAUGCACACUUUUUGAAAUUUAAGGGAGAUAACUGUAAUAGAAAUGGAAUAGUAUGAUCAUGGGAGUAAGUACACACCAGUAUGUAUACCACUCAUCUUGUGAAUGCUUUGCAAUUGAUGCACAUUGUUUUUAAAUGACGUGGACAGGGACAGCUGUUCAAAGAAUAAUGACAACACACUAGGAGCUCUGUCUGUAUAAUCUGGCAAAAAGACUGGAAAAAUGUGACAUGAAUUCAAACAGAGAAGAGAGACAGCAACUGCAUGCAGGGCAGACUACCAGGCGUUAAUGUGAGCAUUGUUUGACAAUGAAGUCACGAUGUCCGACUGCUGACCUCCUACUACAUAAACUGUGCAUACCUGAUGUUUCCCUUCUUCGCUGUCAUUGAUGGUUUAGAAGCCAGUUACCACCACCGCCACCAUCCCAGAAAGGAGCUUUCUCAACUAUUUGGGGUUAAGAAGUUUGCUAGAAGAAUGUCUCAAACAAAUGAAUCCCGAUGCUAUGCCAGUAAUACGUAGUCAAUGGAAAGUACCAGUAGCGUUCAAGAGUAGAAUUUCUCAGGAACUGAGUUUCCCAUCACAGUAGGGUUUGGUACACCCAGGAAAGCUGUGGAUUCAAAUUCUACAAGCCAGGGGCUGUUAGAAACACGGUGACUCCAGAAAGUUAUCACUUAUGACAAAAUGACUGCAAGAGAACAUAGCCCUCGCCACAGUCCUCGCCACAGGCCAAGAUCCAUGAUACAGCGGGCUUCAACAUUUGAUAUUUCCUCUGAGAUGUUAGGACUUUCAGUGACAGGGAAUAUGCAUGAUCCAGAUGAACCUGUCUUAGAAUUCAGUUUAGCAUGCAGUGAAUUGCUUACUCCAUCACUAGAUCGAAAACCAAAUAGUUUUGUAGCAGUGAGUGUGACAACACCUCCUCAAGCAUUCUGGACAAAACAUGCACAAACAGAAAUUAUAG